GUCAGACAGUCAUCAGUUGGACAGGAUGGAGCUCCGUCCACUCUGUGUGAUGUUCUUGCUGACUGAACUCAUCCUCUGUACACAAACAGGUGAUUUAGAUUUUGUUCGUUUGAACAUCCAUACGCAGCAUAAUAGUCUGGCAUCGUCCAUGAAUUCGAAGUACAAGACCCCUGUUCCAAGAUGGCGGCGGUUAUGACCCCAAGGUGACAUCUGGGUGUAGAUAUCUAUGGAUGUUGCACUGCACUACAAUCUAGAACUUGUGCAGAAGAAUAUUUGUGGUAAACCAUUAUCUAGCAAAAAAGAAAGAGGAUGGAAGCAUUCCAGAUAUUCUCAUUGUAUAUCGCCUGCU